ACGUCAUUAGUAUAACACUAUUAUACUACUUUUCCAAAGUAGUGAUCUAAUUUAUUUAGAUGUCGUA
rnacentral:tRNA from 1 species